rnacentral:tRNA from 1 species
AUUUAUAUAGUAUAACUAUUACAUUUAAUUUCCAAUUAAAAAAUUUAUUUAAAUAUAAUAUAAAUA